GAUGAACGCUGGCGGCGUGCCUAAUACAUGCAAGUCGAGCGAACAGAUAAGGAGCUUGCUCCUUUGACGUUAGCGGCGGACGGGUGAGUAACACGUGGGUAACCUACCUAUAAGACUGGAAUAACUCCGGGAAACCGGGGCUAAUGCCGGAUAACAUUUAGAACCGCAUGGUUCUAAAGUGAAAGAUGGUUUUGCUAUCACUUAUAGAUGGACCCGCGCCGUAUUAGCUAGUUGGUAAGGUAACGGCUUACCAAGGCAACGAUACGUAGCCGACCUGAGAGGGUGAUCGGCCACACUGGAACUGAGACACGGUCCGGACUCCUACGGGAGGCAGCAGUAGGGAAUCUUCCGCAAUGGGCGAAAGCCUGACGGAGCAACGCCGCGUGAGUGAUGAAGGUCUUCGGAUCGUAAAACUCUGUUAUUAGGGAAGAACAAAUGUGUAAGUAACUGUGCACGUCUUGACGGUACCUAAUCAGAAAGCCACGGCUAACUACGUG
rnacentral:rRNA from 1 species